rnacentral:rRNA from 1 species
GACCCUUAAAACCCAAAGGACUUGACGGUGUCCCACCCACCUAGAGGAGCCUGUUCUAUAAUCGACACCCCACGAUUUACCUUACCACCCCUAGCACACUCAGUUUGUAUACCUCCGUCGCAAGCUUACCAUGUGAACGCCACUAGUGAGCUAAAAGAUUCUUUCACCCCUACGUCAGGUCAAGGUGCAACUAACGGAGCGGAAAGCAAUGGGCUACAAUUUCUACAAUAGAACACACGAAAAACUGAAUGAAACACAGUCACGAAGGCGGAUUUAGAAGUAAAAAGAAAUUAGAAAAUUCUCUUUAACUAGGCCCUGGGACGCGUACACACCGCCCGUCACCCUCCUCAAUAUACCCCACCAAGAGGAGGCAAGUCGUAACAUGGUAAGUGUACUGGAAAGUGCACUUGGACAAUCAAAAUGUAGCUUAAUUAAAGCAUCUUGCUUACACCAAGAUAGAAGUCAAUUAUUCUUGACCAUUUUGAGCUUAAACCUCAGCCCACCCC